UGGGGAAUAUUGCACAAUGGGCGCAAGCCUGAUGCAGCCAUGUCGCGUGUGUGAAGAAGGCCUUCGGGUUGUAAAGCACUUUCAGCGAGGAGGAAGGUGGUGAGCUUAAUACGCUCAUCAAUUGACGUUACUCGCAGAAGAAGCACCGGCUAACUCCGUGCCAGCAGCCGCGGUAAUACGGAGGGUGCAAGCGUUAAUCAGAAUUACUGGGCGUAAAGCGCACGCAGGCGGUUUGUUAGGUCAGAUGUGAAAUCCCCGGGCUCAACCUGGGAACUGCAUUUGAAACUGGCAAGCUAGAGUCUCGUAGAGGGGGGUAGAAUUCCAGGUGUAGCGGUGAAAUGCGUAGAGAUCUGGAGGAAUACCGGUGGCGAAGGCGGCCCCCUGGACGAAGACUGACGCUCAGGUGCGAAAGCGUGGGGCAGCAAACAGGAUUAGAUACCCUGGUAGUCCACGCUGUAAACGAUGUCGACUUUGGGGGUUGUGCCCUUNAGGCGUGGCUUCCGGAGCUAACGCGUUAAAUCGACCGCCUGGGGAG
rnacentral:rRNA from 1 species